CCUACGGGAUGCUGUAGUGGGGAAUAUUGGACAAUGGGCGAAAGCCUGAUCCAGCCAUGCCGCGUGUGUGAAGAAGGCCUUCGGGUUGUAAAGCACUUUCAGUGGGGAAGAAAGCCUUGGGGCUAAUACCCUCGAGGAAGGACAUCACCCACAGAAGAAGCACCGGCUAACUCCGUGCCAGCAGCCGCGGUAAUACGGAGGGUGCGAGCGUUAAUCGGAAUUACUGGGCGUAAAGCGCGCGUAGGCGGUCUGAUAAGCCGGUUGUGAAAGCCCCGGGCUCAACCUGGGAACGGCAUCCGGAACUGUCAGGCUAGAGUGCAGGAGAGGAAGGUAGAAUUCCCGGUGUAGCGGUGAAAUGCGUAGAGAUCGGGAGGAAUACCAGUGGCGAAGGCGGCCUUCUGGACUGACACUGACGCUGAGGUGCGAAAGCGUGGGUAGCAAACAGGAUUAGAUACCCCAGUAGUC
rnacentral:rRNA from 1 species